CUCUGCGAGCUGAGUUCAUAGGACAGUGUGUUUAAUAUGCAAUUUGGUGCUAAUAAAUGACCCUUUCUUCCUAAUGUCGGCAGAAUGGAUUUGAAUAACUGAAGCUGUUAUUGCACAAGUUCAAAGGACGUUGUUUGACAAGCUGUGGGCCAGACCUUCCCAUUGCUGUGCAGAACCAGGACUUUGUCAGCUUUGCUACAGCAACCUGAGCCAACGUCUGGCUUGUUGCUCCGCAGCCCGCUCACUGCUCCCAGGAGGGAAAGGGAAAACUGCUUCAAUGGGAAUAAGGCAGAAAAAGACAAAGGAAACGUCUUAUCCUUCAUAACAUCUCUGCCCCUUGUCGGGUAUUCACGCAUUUCAGCAGUCAGCAAUGUCUGUAAUCACUACUGCUUCUUUCAUUUUUCUAAAGCAGCACAGAAAAAUGAUGAGGCAUUCUCUUUCCUACCUUUUACAACUGUGUGUCAGUGUUUAAUUUUGAAAGCUCUCUCAUUUUAGUCGCUAUUUUCUUAUUGCAGGCAAGCAGAAUUUAUAGAAAUAUUGAUCUUCUUUUAAUGAGUUUUAAAAGAAAACAGAAUGAGCGUGAUUCAGAGUAGCGAGGUGUUAGACUGACUGUGUCCUGGUUUUUAACCGCUACUGCUGUAUCUUUGGAAUUUGCUGUAUUUUAUCACCGAUACCUGCUCAUUGCGGUUUGCUGCUUGCAGGGAGGUGUUGGUGUGUUGCUGGCAGUGGUCACAACCUGCGUCUGCAUUUGCCGUGUGCGAGGUCAGCGUUCCAGCAGCCCCGGGAUGCUCGAGGGGGGAUGUCCCGAGCGGCUCCUGCAGCCACGCUGGGCUGGUGACGCAGCAGCGGGAGACGCCGGAUCUACUAGAAACAAGGCAAGGAGACUUCACAGAGCAACGCUGUGCUCUUUCCAUGUCGAGGCAGCUGAAUGUGUAUGAGCGAGCUUGGAAUGGACUAAACACAGGCAGGAACAGCCCCAGGAGCAGUUACGUGAUCCUCACUGGCGGCGAUGGCCCCGGGCGCGGUGCCCUGCUCACAGCUCCCUGCCACUGGGGCGAAGCGCUGCCUGAGAAGGAAGAUAGGAAGACACCUACUGAUCUACGAUUUCUUGGAGGUUGGCUUGCAAGAUGAUCAUCAGCUCUUUGAACGUCAUCCACUUCUUCACGUAGACUGGAACUUCCUCUUGG